AACCAAGAGUUACCCCCUUCAGCCUGCUGCCCUGCAUCUGCUCUGCAGGUCUCUGAAGAACAUUAACCCCUUCAAUGCUCUGUUCCCCUGCUCUGCAAGUCUCUGCAGAGCAUUAACCUCUUCAGUGCUCUGUUCUCUGCAGAGCAUUCCCCUGCUCUGCAAACAACCCUUUUAGUGCUCUGCUCCCCUGUCCCUGCAGAGCAUUAACCCCUAAUAAC